GCGGGGAGGAAGGGAGUAAAGUUAAUACCUUUGCUCAUUGACGUUACCCUCAGAAGAAGCACCGGCUAACUCCGUGCCAGCAGCCGCGGUAAUACGGAGGGUGCAAGCGUUAAUCGGAAUUACUGGGCGUAAAGCGCACGCAGGCGGUUUGUUAAGUCAGAUGUGAAAUCCCCGGGCUCAACCUGGGAACUGCAUCUGAUACUGGCAAGCUUGAGUCUCGUAGAGGGGGGUAGAAUUCCAGGUGUAGCGGUGAAAUGCGUAGAGAUCUGGAGGAAUACCGGUGGCGAAGGCGGCCCCCUGGACGAAGACUGACGCUCAGGUGCGAAAGCGUGGGGAGCAAACAGGAUU
rnacentral:rRNA from 1 species